GACGAACGCUGGCGGCGUGCUUAACACAUGCAAGUCGAACGGAAAGGCCCUGCUUUUGUGGGGUGCUCGAGUGGCGAACGGGUGAGUAACACGUGAGUAACCUGCCCUUGACUUUGGGAUAACUUCAGGAAACUGGGGCUAAUCCCGGAUAGGAGCUCCUGCUGCAUGGUGGGGGUUGGAAAGUUUCGGCGGGUGGGGAUGGACUCGCGGCUUAUCAGCUUGUUGGUGGGGUAGUGGCUUACCAAGGCUUGGACGGGUAGCCCGCCUGAGAGGGUGACCGGCCACAUUGGGACUGAGAUACGGCCCAGACUGCUACGGGAGGCAGAAGUGGGGAAUAUUGCACAAUGGGCGGAAGCCUGAUGCAGCAACGCCGCGUGCGGGAUGACGGCCUUCGGGUUGUAAACCGCUUUCGCCUGUGACGAAGCGUGAGUGACGGUAAUGGGUAAAGAAGCACCGGCUAACUACGUG
rnacentral:rRNA from 1 species